rnacentral:rRNA from 1 species
GGGCCCGCACAAGCGGAGGAACAUGUGGUUUAAUUCGAUGAUACGCGAGGAACCUUACCCGGGCUUGAACUGCCGGCGAACGAUACAGAGAUGUUGAGGCCCUUCGGGGCGCCGGUGGAGGUGCUGCAUGGUUGUCGUCAGCUCGUGCCGUGAGGUGUCGGCUUAAGUGCCAUAACGAGCGCAACCCCUCUCUUCAGUUGCCAUCAGGUAGCGCUGGGCACUCUGGAGACACUGCCACCGUAAGGUGUGAGGAAGGUGGGGAUGACGUCAAAUCAGCACGGCCCUUACGUCCGGGGCUACACACGUGUUACAAUGGGGGGUACAGAAAGUCGGUGUGAUGUAAAUCACAUCAAAUCCAUAAAGCCCUCCUCAGUUCGGACUGGGGUCUGCAACCCGACCCCACGAAGCUGGAUUCGCUAGUAAUCGCGCAUCAGCCAUGGCGCGGUGAAUACGUUCCCGGGCCUU